AACGCGAAGAACCUUACCUGGGUUUGACAUAUGGGGAAAACUGGCAGAGAUGUCAGGUCCGCAAGGGCCCCAUACAGGUGGUGCAUGGCUGUCGUCAGCUCGUGUCGUGAGAUGUUGGGUUAAGUCCCGCAACGAGCGCAACCCUCGUCCUAUGUUGCCAGCGAGUAAUGUCGGGGACUCAUAGGAGACUGCCGGGGUCAACUCGGAGGAAGGUGGGGAUGACGUCAAGUCAUCAUGCCCCUUAUGUCCAGGGCUGCACGCAUGCUACAAUGGCCGGUACAAAGGGCUGCAAAACCGCAAGGUGGAGCGAAUCCCAAAAAGCCGGUCUCAGUUCGGAUUGGGGUCUGCAACUCGACCCCAUGAGGUCGGAGUCGCUAGUAAUCGCAGAUCAGCAACGCUGCGGUGAAUACGUUCCCGGGUCUUGUACACACCG
rnacentral:rRNA from 1 species